CGCGCUAGCACACGAUAAACUAACAAAAGAGAACUGACUAGUAAAUACUACCCAGUGACUGUUAGUAGGAGGCGUUGGAACCCACCCGCCCCACAGCUGUGCAGCAGCAGACGACGGUGAUUCAGAGCGAGGCAUCAGCAUUCGUCACGGUGACGAGCGCCAUCUUCUUUGCCCUGUCGGUGGCGAGUGGUGAGCGGAACAGACUGCAGACAAGAAUUGGUUGACUGUCGUCCCCAGGGGACGAGAGGGUGAGCUGGUUCGCAACGCGGAACUGUAAGUCAGGCGUUUCUGGUGCAGCUAUCGGCAGUGAGCUGCAGUCUGACAGCCUCUGAGCCAGAUCAGUCCUCUUCAUCUUCUUUAAACGCUCCAUGGUCUUCUUCACUGACUGUUGGCCGCAAGUCUGCACCAUUACAAACACUGUGUCCUGCAGGUUCUGAGCUGCAGUCUGACAGCCUCUGAGCCAGAUCACUCCUACUGAUAUCCUUUAACAGCUCCAUGAUCUUCUUCACUGACUGGUGGCCAUAAGUCUGCACCAUUGAAAACACUGUGUCCUGCAGGUCUGACUCCUCUAUCUCCAUCAGUUGUAAGAAGCCACAGUUCCUCCUGAGGAUCUCUUUGAGGUCCUCAAACUCGCUGUCACUCAGAUCAGCCAGUGUUUCCAAAAGUAGCUCAAUAAGAGACUCCAUCGUUUCUACCUGGUAAAAUCAGAGGUCAAAUGACAGCUGUGUACAAUUCAAAGGUCUGUUUGAUCUUUAAUUAACACAAAAUUGUUCAGUUUGUUAAACAUAAAUCCAAAGCUGAAAUUAGGUUCAAUUCAAGUCUUUGUAAAAUGAUGACCUUUGACCUUUGAACCAAACUCAGACAUAAAGGGCGUCUCUUUGAAGGCCAUGAGGGGUCGACCAGAUUUAGAGCAGAAAAUAACGUCCAUGAACAUCUGGUGCUUGGUGGGUACCUGCUUGCAUUAGUUUGUGUUUCUUUAGUAACCAGAAGGUGGUUCAUUGUUUCCUCCUUCUGAAGGAUUUCAUUUUCAUUAACAGGUUUGUGACAUUGUUUCACUGCCUGACUGUAACUCCUUCAUAGACUGCUGCAAAAACUGCAGCAAGUCUCCUGAUUUUACAAACAGAGGGAGGUUUAACUGCUCACAUCUUUACUGCUUAGAAACAGGGACG